AGUGAACGCUGGCGGUAGGCCUAACACAUGCAAGUCGAACGGCAGCACGGUAAGAGCUUGCUCUUACGGGUGGCGAGUGGCGGAUGGGUGAGGAAUACAUCGGAAUCUACUUUUUCGUGGGGGAUAACGUAGGGAAACUUACGCUAAUACCGCAUACGACCUACGGGUGAAAGCAGGGGUUCUUCGGACCUUGCGCGAUUGAAUGAGCCGAUGUCGGAUUAGCUAGUUGGCGAGGUAAAGGCCCACCAAGGCGACGAUCCGUAGCUGGUCUGAGAGGAUGAUCAGCCACACUGGAACUGAGACACGGUCCAGACUCCUACGGGAGGCAGCAGUGGGGAAUAUUGGACAAUGGGCGCAAGCCUGAUCCAGCCAUGCCGCGUGAGUGAAGAAGGCCUUCGGGUUGUAAAGCCCUUUUGUUGGGAAAGAAAAGCAGCAGGUUAAUACCCCGCUGUUCUGACGGUACCCAAAGAAUAAGCACCGGCUAACUUCGUG
rnacentral:rRNA from 1 species